UACGUAGGGUGCAAGCGUUGUCCGGAAUUAUUGGGCGUAAAGAGCUCGUAGGCGGUUUGUCGCGUCGAAUGUGAAAACCCGGGGCUCAACCGCGGGCCUGCAUUCGAUACGGGCGGACUAGAGUUCGGUAGGGGAGUCUGGAAUUCCUGGUGUAGCGGUGAAAUGCGCAGAUAUCAGGAGGAACACCGGUGGCGAAGGCGGGUCUCUGGGCCGAUACUGACGCUGAGGAGCGAAAGCGUGGGGAGCAAACAGG
rnacentral:rRNA from 1 species